GACGAACGCUGGCGGCGUGCCUAAUACAUGCAAGUAGAACGCUGAAGGAGGAGCCUGCUUCUCUGGAUGAGUUGCGAACGGGUGAGUAACGCGUAGGUAACCUGCCUGGUAGCGGGGGAUAACUAUUGGAAACGAUAGCUAAUACCGCAUAAGAGUAGAUGUUGCAUGACAUUUGCUUAAAAGGUGCAAUUGCAUCACUACCAGAUGGACCUGCGUUGUAUUAGCUAGUUGGUGGGGUAACGGCUUACCAAGGCGACGAUACAUAGCCGACCUGAGAGGGUGAUCGGCCACACUGGGACUGAGACACGGCCCAGACUCCUACGGGAGGCAGCAGUAGGGAAUCUUCGGCAAUGGACGGAAGUCUGACCGAGCAACGCCGCGUGAGUGAAGAAGGUUUUCGGAUCGUAAAGCUCUGUUGUAAGAGAAGAACGAGUGUGAGAGUGGAAAGUUCACACUGUGACGGUAUCUUACCAGAAAGGGACGGCUAACUACGUG
rnacentral:rRNA from 1 species